CAGAGCCGCUCCUCUCACCUUCUCCCCUCACAGCUACUCCCAUCCAUGGUGCCUCCCCUCCCCUCGACGGCGGCGUCCGGGCCCUCCUCUCCCUGCACCAGCCCACCUCUUUGCUUAUGCCCUCCCCCUCCCCGGCCUUCGACAAGCACCCCAGCGCUCGCGACGCAAGGCACAGAAGCGCAGUCUGUCUCGGCCGCCGCCGCCGUCGUCUCGUCGCCGCUCGGAAACACCGAUGCCCAUGAAGACAACAAGGACUACGAGGGCUCCUUCGGCCCCGAGAUCGUCUGCCUCCACUCCCAGGAGGCGGUCGCCAGGCAGGGUCCGCACGCAGGUCGACGCCAUCCACCACUGCUUCUCGUGACGCCAUGCCGACCACGCCUCCAGCGUCCUCGCAGAGCUCGCAAAAAUGGAUGGGUCUACAUGGAGGAUGAACAAGUUCACAGACUUCUCACCAUUCUUGAUGCCGCACCCAUGUGAUUCACAUCUCUGGGAACGCCAUCUCUUCCAUCGUGUGCUUUAGUUCCUGGACACCGGAGUCUCCCCCUGGACCUAACUUCCGCCAAUGGCCAACUACUUGACACCUGAACAAAGGGAUAAAAGUCAGAGGCAUGGGGAUGAUGAUGUCAUGGAUGUUUGGAAAAUGGUAACAACGAGAGUUCUUCAUGCAGUAAGAAACCAGUAAGAACUGAACUUAGUUUUGUACCAUUGCGGUUUGCAAAGCUUUGGAGGCAACUUAAUGUUUAAGCUCUCUAAUUUGUCAUUCUCACAUAUGAAAUUGUCCCGUUAUCUAGUUGUAUUUUUUCUGGAUGCUAUUCUUUCAUCAUAGGCCUUUUAUUCUGUAAGGUAAAUUAGAGGUUUAUUAAAUUAUUAUUUAAGUAAUUUAUGGGUUAACUUCUCCU